AUUAACAACGUGAAGUUGAGAAAUUUGACCAUAGAAAACUCAAAAAAUGAUGAAUGUGAUGUAUGUGUUGAAAUAUUGUUAGCCCCGAAUAUUCAAACUUUGCAACAUUUUGGGAUAUACUUGAGGAGUGUGGAUUCAUUUAUCAAUAAGGUCCUUUGUUUUGAUUUUGAUUUUGAAGACGGAGACCAAUUGAAGAGGAAGGAGUCUUAGUUUUUUUUAAGGAACUUAAGAGUGUUGCCCAGGCCAUGUCAAGAAUCUUAAAUUAGGACCAUGGUGCAUUGAGGAGAAGUGGAUCAGAACAUAUAGUUUGUAGCGGAUUCUUUCUUGCAGAACAUGCCGUCAAAGUACACAAACGAGGAUGAACGAAGUAGGAGGUUUGACAUACAGAAUUUUAACCCCUUGUUUCUACAUCUGAAGACCAUUAAGAUGACUUCUUUUUAUGGAACAAUAUUUAAAAACAGGUCAGUACUAUUGUCUGUAAAAUAUUAGCUCAAGCAUACAACCGUGCUAGAAAAGUUCGUGCCCAAGUGCAAGAGGAAUGAUGUGGCUCAAGAUAAUAUUCAGAUGGAACAGGAUCUCCUUAGCAUUCCAAUAUCGCCUUUGCAUACUUCAAUUGUUGUUUCGUACUAUAACAGUUAAUGUUUUAAAUCAUUUUUCAAAAAUAACAUUUCAAAUUAUAUGUCCAA